UACGUAGGCAGCAAGCGUUGUUCGGAGUUACUGGGCGUAAAGGGUGUGUAGGCGGUUGUUUAAGUUUGGUGUGAAAUCUCCCGGCUCAACCGGGAGGGUGCGCCGAAUACUGAAUGACUUCGAGUGCGGGAGAGGAGAGUGGAAUUCCUGGUGUAGCGGUGAAAUGCGUAGAUAUCAGGAAGAACACCCGUGGCUAAGGCGGCUCUCUAGUACGGUACUGACGCUGAGACGCGAAAGCGUGGGGAGCGAACAGG
rnacentral:rRNA from 1 species